GUGAGUUACAGAGUAAUCAGGAGGAGAGGAAACAGUGAUGACUGUUUGUUUGGAUAGAAUGAUCAGUCCUGGAGUCUGUUCUGCUAUGAUGGUGGUUACUCUGUCUAUCACAAUGACAUAAGAACAUCCAUCUCCUCCUCCUCUGUCUCUGGUAGAGUAGCAGUGUAUGUGGACUGUCCUGCUGGCUCUCUGUCCUUCUACAGAGUCUCCUCUGACUCACUGAUCCUCCUCCACACCUUCAACACCACAUUCACUCAGCCUCUCUAUCCUGGGUUUGGGUUCUGGUCUCCUGGUUCCUCAGUGUCUCUGUGUUCUGUGUAGGACGGAGAGUC